rnacentral:rRNA from 1 species
CCUACGGGAGGCAGCAGUGGGGAAUAUUGCACAAUGGGGGAAACCCUGAUGCAGCGAAGCCGCGUGAGUGAAGAAGUUUUUCGGUAUGUAAAGCUCUAUCAGCAGGGAAGAAGCAAGACGGCACCUGACUAAGAAGCCCCGGCUAACUACGGGCCAGCAGCCGCGGUAAUACGGAGGGGGCAAGCGUGAUCCGGAUUUACUGGGUGUAACGGGAGCGUAGGCGGUAUGGCAAGUCUGAAGUGAAAGCCCAGGGCUUAACCCUGGGACUGCUUUGGAAACUGUUAGACUAGAGUGCUGGAGAGGUAAGUGGAAUGCCUAGUGUAGCGGUGAAAUGCGUAGAUAUAUGGAAGAACACCAGUGGCGAAGGCGGCUCUCUGGUCUGUAACUGACGCUGAGGUUCGAAAGCGUGGGUAGCAAACAGGAUUAGAUACCCCUGUAGUC